CAGCAGCCGCGGUAAUACGAAGGGUGCAAGCGUUAAUCGGAAUUACUGGGCGUAAAGCGUGCGUAGGCGGUUCGUUAAGUCUGUUGUGAAAUCCCCGGGCUCAACCUGGGAAUGGCAAUGGAUACUGGUAAGCUAGAGUGUGUCAGAGGAUGGUGGAAUUCCCGGUGUAGCGGUGAAAUGCGUAGAGAUCGGGAGGAACAUCAGUGGCGAAGGCGGCCAUCUGGGACAACACUGACGCUGAGGCACGAAAGCGUGGGGAGCAAACAGGAUUAGAUACCCCGGUAGUCCCUGUCUCUUAUAC
rnacentral:rRNA from 1 species